CAAUAGCGUAUAUUUAAGUUGUUGCAGUUAAAAAGCUCGUAGUUGGAUUUCGGUUGAGAGCGGCCGGUCCGCCGUUUGGUGUGCACUGGCUGGUUUCAACUUCCUGUAGAGGACGCGCUUUGGGCUUAACGGUCUGAACGUGGAGUCUGCGUGGUUACUUUGAAAAAAUUAGAGUGUUCAAAGCGGGCUUACGCUUGAAUAUUUCAGCAUGGAAUAACACUAUAGGACUCCUGUCCUAUUUCGUUGGUCUCGGGACGGGAGUAAUGAUUAAGAGGAACAGUCGGGGGCAUUCGUAUUUCAUUGUCAGAGGUGAAAUUCUUGGAUUUAUGAAAGACGAACUUCUGCGAAAGCAUUUGCCAAGGAUGUUUUCAUUAA
rnacentral:rRNA from 1 species